rnacentral:lncRNA from 1 species
GUGGGUGGAGAGUAUUCCUUCUAUCAAGCGUCUUAAAGAAUCCACAAGAGAGUUUUCUGAGUGCCAAAGGCUACCCAACAUCCAAGUCGUCUGCAAGUUGGAAUCAUUGGAAGAGUUCUCUCUUUAUAGGUGCAAUUCUGAGGAUAAUUAGUUGAUUUUGUAAAAAAAUUGAAGAGCCUGAGGCAUAUCAAAAUCAAUCAGUGCCAUAGGGCCUUGAUCAGUUAGAGGUUUUGGACAGGAUGGAAUUUGAUGAGCGGAGA